UUGUUAUUUCCAUCGGUCCAAAAUGAAAAUAGAUUAAGAAAUUAUUCACAAACCAAUCUCAUUUUCUUUUUAAUUGAUCAAUUUGUUGAUGUUGUUGUUUUUGUGUGACAGACAUUGCAGGAUUCCUGAUCCUUAUCCCUCAAUAUCGUUCGAAACGAGUGCACCAAGAUGGCGGUACCUCGAAUGUGAACAAGAAUAAUGAAAAUAUUACCUAAUUGUGGUUUAUCAAAAGUAAAUUGUUAUUUCCAUCGGUCCAAAAUGAAAAUACAUUAAGAAAUUAUUCACAAACCAAUCUCAUUUUCUUUUUAAUUGAUCAAUUGGUUGAUGUUGUUGUUUUUGUGUGACAGACAUCGCAGGAUUCCUGAUCCUUAUCCCUCAAUAUCGUUCGUUCGGGUGCACUCGAAUGUGAACAAGAAUAAUGAAAAUAUUACCUAAUUGUGGUUUAUCAAGAGUAAAUUGUUAUUUCCAUCGGUCCAAAAUGAAAAUAGAUUAAGAAAUUAUUCACAAAUCAAUCUCAUUUUCUUUUUAAUUGAUCAAUUUGUUGAUGUUGUUGUUUUUGUGUGACAGACAUCGCAGGAUUCCUGAUCCUUAUCCCUCAAUAUCGUUCGUUUGGGUGCACUAGUUUCGGCCUCCAUGGCCAGCCAAGGCCGGCUGCCGGUCAGCA
rnacentral:lncRNA from 1 species